rnacentral:sRNA from 1 species
UUCCUCCUGAAGCUGCGAGCUCCGUCAAAAAGGACAACCUACUCUGAGAGAGGAGGAUCGCUCUUCGAUGGAGGGUAUCUGAGUAGCUGCACUCCCGUUAGAACCUCCAAACAGGCUCUCAAGGGCUCUCUAAUUUCACGUCCCACC